GGAUUAGAUACCCUGGUAGUCCACGCCGUAAACGAUGUCUACUAGUUGUCGGUGGUCUUGUACUGCUGGUAACGCAGCUAACGCGAUAAGUAGACCGCCUGGGGAGUACGGCCGCAAGGUUAAAACUCAAAUGAAUUGACGGGGGCCCGCACAAGCGGUGGAGCAUGUGGUUUAAUUCGAAGCAACGCGAAGAACCUUACCUGGCCUUGACAUCCUGCGAAUCUUUUGGAGACAAGAGAGUGCCUUCGGGAACGCAGAGACAGGUGCUGCAUGGCUGUCGUCAGCUCGUGCC
rnacentral:rRNA from 1 species